AAGGUGGCUGAGGAAUCCUUUGGAUUCUUCAGCCUUGACUUUCAAGGUAGAAUUGCUCUGGAGUGAUUCUCAACAGGAAACAAUUCAAUUAUCUCAAAAGUCCUUACAAGAUGUGUUAGCAUGCAUAUAUAUAGGUCUAAAUGUACCACAUGCCUAACACAUUGUACACAUGUCUAUUACAAAUAAAAGGAAAUACUAGGCUAAGGAAAUUGGGCUUGGGCCCAAGUCAUCAUG
rnacentral:lncRNA from 1 species